rnacentral:rRNA from 1 species
AUUGAACGCUGGCGGCAGGCCUAACACAUGCAAGUCGAGCGGAUGAAGGGAGCUUGCUCCUGGAUUCAGCGGCGGACGGGUGAGUAAUGCCUAGGAAUCUGCCUGGUAGUGGGGGAUAACGUCCGGAAACGGGCGCUAAUACCGCAUACGUCCUGAGGGAGAAAGUGGGGGAUCUUCGGACCUCACGCUAUCAGAUGAGCCUAGGUCGGAUUAGCUAGUUGGUGGGGUAAAUGCCUACCAAGGCGACGAUCCGUAACUGGUCUGAGAGGAUGAUCAGUCACACUGGAACUGAGACACGGUCCAGACUCCUACGGGAGGCAGCAGUGGGGAAUAUUGGACACUGGGCGAAAGCCUGAUCCAGCCAUGCCGCGUGUGUGAAGAAGGUCUUCGGAUUGUAAAGCACUUUAAGUUGGGAGGAAGGGCAGUAAGUUAAUACCUUGCUGUUUUGACGUUACCAACAGAAUAAGCACCGGCUAACUUCGUG